rnacentral:snoRNA from 1 species
AGAUCAGCUUUUCAAAGGUUUACUGCAUUUUACCCUCCCUGAUGGGGCUCAGUGUGCGCAGCUGGAAAAAGUAGAUGCCCUGGUUAUGCAUGCAGCUCAUUUGUUGUACAUGUUGCUUUAAGGGACCUUGAAGACUCUU